rnacentral:misc_RNA from 1 species
AACGCACAUUGCGCCCGCCAGUAUUCUGGCGGGCAUGCCUGUCCGAGCGUCAUUUCUAACCAUCAAGCCCCGGGCUUGUGUUGGGGACCUGCGGCUGCCCGCAGGCCCUGAAAACCAGUGGCGGGCUCGCCGACACUCCGAGCGCAGUAGUACCUAUCUCGCUUAGGGCGUGUCGCGGGUUCCGGCCGUUAAACGAGGCGCUCCGUCGCCUCUCCCCCCCCAAAGGUUGACCUCGGAUCAGGUAGGAGGACCCGCUGAACUUAA